GGAAAAGUAAAGUCGUAACAAGGUCUCCGUUGGUGAACCAGCGGAGGGAUCAUUA
rnacentral:rRNA from 1 species